rnacentral:lncRNA from 1 species
CCACCAGCCACCAGUCACCAGCCGGCUUUCAGUGCGUGUCCGUGCCUCUGCCACGACCCGUUUGGUGUGCAGCAGCCUCUCCUCUCGCUCCUCUCGUAUGUACACAUAUAUUAUUGAAAACUGGCGCUUGGAGCGACGUCAGCGGAAUGUCAUUGAGGUGAGUUCCCGAGACCAAAAAAAAAACAGAGACCGAGACCGCGACUGUGACCGAAACGGAGACGGAGACGGAGACCGACACGCAGACCCUUCAGCGCCUUUGGCGGUGUCGAUGGUGAUUGUACGCCUACCAUCAACCCCUCCCAGCAUCCCAUUGAAGCAUCCAUCCGAGCGAGCGAGCAUCCAUCAAAUGCGCGCCCAGUUCAUGUCAAAUUAUAAAUUCUUAAAAAAUUUAAAUCUAAUUUUCCGCGCCUGGGCCAUGGGCCAUGGGCCGAAUAUUCAAAUACAUAAUGGAUUUUACUUUCGGCUGACAAGUACAAGCCCAUUUAAUCAAUAAUUAACGUAAUCCAUCAAGUACAAAAGUGUCAAAUGCACUCGUGAACGAGCGAGCGAGCCUCGCAGAACCAAAGUCCUUGGCAGGAGACGGGGCAGGGGGGGACGACAGCAGGCCUAAAAGGAUUUUCAUGAAAGCGCAUCCAUUCCAACGAGAAAUCAAGUUGUUCCUGUCACAGAGCAAAACAGCGAAAAAAGAUACACGAAACAAAUCCGCGCUCGUCACAUCUGCAUGUCAAACCAGCCAGCCAGCAGCAGCAGCAGCAGCACAAUCAACCCCUAAGAGGCAAGAGAGUUGACAGUAACUUUAACCCUGAACACCGUCUGUCAGUGUCGAGAUAGUAGCAGGAGCAGGAGAUUCAGCCAACAGCAGCGGCAGCAGCGGCAGCAGCAGCUUAUCUAAGCCGAAAAGUCGACCCUGAUCAACCACUUGCAGUCCAGCCCCAGCCCCAGCCCCUGGUUAUAUUCGAUAGAUAUAUAGCCCUUGUUUUACGAGUCCGAGCGAGCACUUGGCGUGGGUAAAUGUGUAUGGAUAUCCAACUACAAAUGUCCAUUUUUCAAUUUACCUGGCCCUUACGCACUCUCCAACUACAACGACUGUCAGCUCUCCCCUGCCUCCAACACCCUUCGGUUUGGCAUAAAUUGAAUCUCAAAUGAAAUAAAAUGAAAUGAAGUGAACGAAACGAAACGAAACGAAAGGAAAGCAAACAAAACAAACAAACAAACACCCACCGCCGAAUCGCUCUAUAAAUUAGCCCUUGACUUGACCAGCGACCGAUGGAUGACCAGUUGGCUGGACUGGUGGCCGCUCGCUGGCGGCCAAAAGACCGUGAAAUUUUCCCAAUAUGCUGCAUUUUAUUUGCGUUUGCCCCGCCACCGAAGGGUCACUCGCAGUCGCUGUCGCAGUCACAGUCGCUCUUUCCGCUGCCACCGCCACCACCAAAGCACCCCCCGGCCACUCUGCUCAUUUUUCUCGUCUGACAUUGCAGUGCAUGGGCAUGGGCAUGGGUACGGAUAUGGGCCUACAAGUACACUGGGAAAAAUAGCUAGCAUAAAAUGAGGGAAAAGUUGUACCCUUGAGGAGAGCAUGUUCUUCAUUUUAUCAAGAAAAUUCACCCUUGUCUUAUAGAAUUUGUAGACUUUGUUCUCCUUUUCUUUGAGUGUACUUUCUAUGGAUGUGCAUUUUUGUGGGGACUUUGAAUGGCAUUCUGUUUGACGUAUGAAUAAAUUAUGCCCCUCGAUCGGUUCUUUGGGCUAGUUAACAUAUUUUUAAAGAAAAGACAAAGGAAAAACGCUCUAUAUAUUCAGGACGGUAACAGUUGACGUUUCUUCGCUUUUAAUGGGGGGGGGGGACAAAAUGUAUAUGCCACAAUUUGUCUUUUGUUGCAAUUUCAUACAGAUGCUCGGGCUUACAUCUAUUGGCAGUUAAUCGAGACAUCCCGACUGUCACAAAUAAUUAAACUAUUGAGACUUAUGCCGACUCGGACGGACGUUCAUUUUUAGUUGUUUUCUCAGUUCAAUAAAUUCAAAUUAUAUGAAUUAAAACUAUGUUGUGAUCAUUUAUGUGACUAAUCUCCAUUUGUGUGUGGAUAUACUCGUAUUAUUUUUCGCAGCGAUGUGCGAAUGGGAAUGGGAAUGGGAAUGGACAAACAUGUCCGGUCUGACGUUUAUGAAAAGCCAUACAGCCAUCGCAGCAUCAAAGCCAAUUAAGAUACUGGACUCCACUCCCAAUACAAGCUCUAAAAAAGGAAUACGCGGCUAAUUUCUGCGACAAAGCCGACAAACGAUCCAGCAUCCAGCGUCCAGUGUCCAGUGUCCAGUGUCCAGCAACCCAAUGUCCAAGAGGCUGUGGAGAGUCUCGAGAAGCGGCACUUUUGUCGCAAACACACAGGCCGUAAAAUUAAGAACUCUGAUUGGUAACAAAUGUUUUUGUUCAUUCGAGUGAUAAAAACGUAGCGAACCGAAAAGAUAUAAAAUUCUCUUUAGUGUCUUCCCAGCGCAGCGAUGAUAAAAUAUUUAAAUGAGUCGAACGAACGAACGAAAGCCGAAUGGGAAGGCUCUCUCUCUCU